ensembl:misc_RNA 7SK 7SK RNA
GGAUGUGAGGGCGAUCUGGCUGAGAUAUCUGUCACCCCACUGAUCGCCAGGGCUGAUUCGGCUGAUCUGGCUGCCUAGGCGGGUGGCCCCUUCCUCCCGCACCUCUCCAUGUGCGUCCCUCCCGAAGCUGCACAUUCGGUCGAAAAGGAGGAGCAUCCCCCAUAGAGGAGGACAAGUCAAGGAUAUAGGAGUAGCUGCACGCCCGUUAACAAGCUCUCAAGGUCCUCCAAACGAGCUCUCAAGGUCCGCUUACUGGCCUGUUUUAUCCCAAGCUAGUUACA